GACGAACGCUGGCGGCAGGCUUAACACAUGCAAGUCGAACGGGUGCAGCAAUGCAUCAGUGGCAGACGGGUGAGUAACACGUGGGAACCUUCCUAGGGGUACGGAACAACUCAGGGAAACUUGAGCUAAUACCGUAUACGUCCGUGAGGAGAAAGAUUCAUCGCCCCUAGACGGGCCCGGCGUCGGAUUAGGUAGUUGGUGGGGUAACGGCCUACCAAGCCUACGAUCCGUAGCUGAUCUGAGAGGAUGAUCAGCCAC
rnacentral:rRNA from 1 species